UACGUAGGGUGCAAGCGUUAUCCGGAAUUAUUGGGCGUAAAGAGCUCGUAGGCGGUUUGUCGCGUCUGCUGUGAAAACUGGGGGCUCAACCCCCAGCCUGCAGUGGGCACGGGCAGGCUAGAGUUCGGUAGGGGAGAUCGGAAUUCCUGGUGUAGCGGUGAAAUGCGCAGAUAUCAGGAGGAACACCGGUGGCGAAGGCGGAUCUCUGGGCCGAUACUGACGCUGAGGAGCGAAAGCGUGGGGAGCGAACAGG
rnacentral:rRNA from 1 species